UAGACAAAAGGCAGAUCAUAUUUAAAUAACUGAAUAACCAGAACAAACCCAAUGAUACCUGCCCUCCUGUCUUUGGUUGGGGCGACCAUGGAGGAACAAAAAUCCCCCACGUGGAACAGGAGUUUACUCCUCAAAGCCAGAGCCACAGCUCCCACAUACAGAAUUUCUGACCAACAAGAUCCGGCAAAGCCGAUCAACGGACCGAGUUACCCUAGGGAUAACAGCGCAAUCCCCUUUUAGAGCCCAUAUCGACAAGGGGGUUUACGACCUCGAUGUUGGAUCAGGACAUCCUAAUGGUGCAGCUGCUAUUAAG
rnacentral:rRNA from 1 species